rnacentral:tRNA from 2 species
GAGGAAGGCGAGCUGCUGGCGGUGAGCGGCGUCUACGAGACGCCGCCGUGGGGCGACACGGAGCAGCCGGCGUACUACAACGCCGCCCUGCUCG